UUGCUGGUGCUGGACUGGGCGGUGGUCUUGCCGCUGAGAUCGGCGAUGGACUUGAUCCGGUCGUCACCGGUCCGGCGGAC
rnacentral:tRNA from 1 species